rnacentral:RNase_P_RNA from 1 species
GGUCUGCUCCAGAGAAUAGCUGAUUGUUUGUAUCUAUAGAAUAAAUAAUCAGAGGAAAGUCUGGACUCCAAUUCGGUUUCGUAUGUUCUUUAUGAAUAACGAAGCAAGUACCUUUAAAUAAGCAAUUGUGCUUAACGAGAGGCUGGGCGUGAGCUUAGGGUCACCCGUCAAUGCUAACGCUAUGACGAGGACAAAGAGGGCAACAGAAAAUAGACUGCCGAUGAUCCAUCUUUGAUGGGAACAGGUAAAGCUGAAACGGUGUGGGUAAGAGCCCACCGGUUGUAUUGGUAACAAUGCAAUGCUGGUAACCCCUACUUGGAGCAAUCCCGAUAGAUCGGGAGCAAAGAUAAAUUAUUCUCUUAAACACAGAAUCCGGCUUAUGGAGCAGACCUAUU